rnacentral:tRNA from 1 species
GCAGUCGCGGCCGAGUGGUUAAGGCGAUAGACUAGAAAUCCAUUGGGGUCUCCCCGCACAGGUUCGAAUCCUGUCGACUGCG